UGGUGUUGGUGGGCUUUAACCAGCUU
rnacentral:piRNA from 1 species